UUGGCAUGGGGGGGCCCUGACCGCCUGCCGCGUGAGUGAUGAAGGCCUUCGGGUGUGUAAAGCUCUUUUGUGUGGGAAGAUAAUGACUGUACCACAAGAAUAAGCCCCGGCUAACUUCGUGCCAGCAGCCGCGGUAAUACGAAGGGGGCUAGCGUUGUUCGGAAUUACUGGGCGUAAAGGGUGCGUAGGUGGUUAUGUAAGUCAGAAGUGAAAGCCCUGGGCUCAACCCGGGAAUUGCUUUUGAAACUAUGUAGCUAGAGUUCGAGAGAGGUAAGUGGAAUAUCCAGUGUAGAGGUAAAAUUCGUAGAUAUUGGAUGGAACACCAGUGGCGAAGGCGGCUUACUGGCUCGAUACUGACACUGAGGCACGAAA
rnacentral:rRNA from 1 species